rnacentral:miRNA from 1 species
UAGCUUUCUGGACUUUUCGAGA